CCCCUCCCUCAGCCCAUCUCACCUGGCCUCAAGCACUGAGCAGCGCAACCGGCUGGCACGGGUCCCUGGCACCACCUCCAGGCGCAGGUGGAUCUCGCCCUGAACCUCCUCAUUCGGAUCCACCUCUAUCAGGCCCUCGGGACACGCUGGAUGCAAAGAGGACACACAGAGGCCAGCAGUCAGCAAUGGUCACAUCCUGGUCCAGCUGCAGAGUAGGGCAGACUUACCUGAGAGCGUCCUCAUCCAUGACGUAGAAGGCCACCGCAUGGAACGUGGGAGGUUAAGGGCCAUCAGAGGAAGACCGGAAGUCAAGACAGGAACUGAAGGGGAGACUAUGAAGGGGUGUUCCUUACUGGCGUGCUUGCCCUGGCUUGCUCAGCCUGCUGUUAUAUACAUCCAGGACCACCUGCUCCAGAAUGGCAAAGCCCACAACGGUCUGGACCCUCUCACGUUAAUCAAGGAAAGGAAGCUGGGCAGUGGUGGUGGUGGGGUGUGCCUUUA